rnacentral:rRNA from 1 species
UAAAAAGUCGUAACAAGGUCUCCGUAGGUGAACCUGCGGAGGGAUCAUU